GAUGAACGCUGGCGGCGUGCUUAACACAUGCAAGUCGAACGGAAGGGCCCUGCUUUUGUGGGGUGCUCGUGUGGCGAAGGGGGGAGUAACACGUGAGUAACCUGUACUUGACUGUGGGAUAACUUUUGGAGAAUGGGGCUCAUACCGGAUAGGAGCUCCUGAUGCACGGUGGGGGAUGGAAAGUUUCGGCGGUGGGGGAUAGACUAGCGGCUUAUCAGCUUGUUGGUGAGGUAGUGGCUUACCAAGGCUUUGACGGGUAGCCGGCAUGAGAGGGUGAACGGCCACAUUGGGACUGAGAGACGGCGCAGUCUCCUACGGGAGGCAGCAGGGGGAAACAUUGCGCAACGGGGGGAAGCCUGAUGCAGCAACGCUGCGUGCGGGAUGACGUCCUUCGGGUUGUAAACCGCUUUCGCCGGUGACGAAGCGUGAGUGACGGUAAUGGGUAAAGAAGCACCGGCUAACUACGUG
rnacentral:rRNA from 1 species